rnacentral:sRNA from 1 species
AAAUAUGGAUUCUGUAAGUAAUUGCGAAUGAAAUCAAAGUUGUUCAUAUUGAUAAUGUUUGCUGUCAUGCAAAUAAAUGUUUACUGUUGGCAUUGUACAAACAUGUUGGCAAGCAAAAGCUUCCUGACAAGGUGCAACAUGGGAUGUGAAAUUCUUGUUUGCUUGCAUGACCUGUGUACUGUCUGUGUCUUGUGAAUCACAUUCCCUCGCCAAUGGAAUGCAAAUUGCAUGGUAAGGUACAUGAGAUAUGACAUGAGUUUGAGAUUCAUGAUGAGCAAGUACCGUGAGGGAAAUGUGAAAAGGACUUUGAAAAGAGAAUUAAAGAAAGCCUGCAAUUGCAUACUGUAAAAGCAAGUGAAUACAAAUUACAAAUGGAAUAGCUUUCUUGACAUGUCUUUGUGAUUUUUGUUGAAGCUUGCAUUUUUCAUGUCUGUUUGUAAAUGCAAAUAGCAGUGCAUGUUUGUGCUGCACACCUGUGUAGCAGAUCCAUGCUUGUAUGUGUGCAUUUAUGUCUUCUGUGCGCUCAACUCCAUUUUGCAUACAAUGGUGAAUCUCCCACCAAUGUUUCAUGUGCAUUGGACAGCGUAGUUAGCAUGUUUCAU